CGGAGAGUUUGAUCCUGGCUCAGGACGAACGCUGGCGGCGUGCCUAAUACAUGCAAGUCGAACGAACUCUGGUAUUGAUUGGUGCUUGCAUCAUGAUUUACAUUUGAGUGAGUGGCGAACUGGUGAGUAACACGUGGGAAACCUGCCCAGAAGCGGGGGAUAACACCUGGAAACAGAUGCUAAUACCGCAUAACAACUUGGACCGCAUGGUCCGAGUUUGAAAGAUGGCUUCGGCUAUCACUUUUGGAUGGUCCCGCGGCGUAUUAGCUAGAUGGUGAGGUAACGGCUCACCAUGGCAAUGAUACGUAGCCGACCUGAGAGGGUAAUCGGCCACAUUGGGACUGAGACACGGCCCAAACUCCUACGGGAGGCAGCAGUAGGGAAUCUUCCACAAUGGACGAAAGUCUGAUGGAGCAACGCCGCGUGAGUGAAGAAGGGUUUCGGCUCGUAAAACUCUGUUGUUAAAGAAGAACAUAUCUGAGAGUAACUGUUCAGGUAUUGACGGUAUUUAACCAGAAAGCCACGGCUAACUACGUGCCAGCAGCCGCGGUAAUACGUAGGUGGCAAGCGUUGUCCGGAUUUAUUGGGCGUAAAGCGAGCGCAGGCGGUUUUUUAAGUCUGAUGUGAAAGCCUUCGGCUCAACCGAAGAAGUGCAUCGGAAACUGGGAAACUUGAGCGCAGAAGAGGACAGUGGAACUCCAUGUGUAGCGGUGAAAUGCGUAGAUAUAUGGAAGAACACCAGUGGCGAAGGCGGCUGUCUGGUCUGUAACUGACGCUGAGGCUCGAAAGUAUGGGUAGCAAACAGGAUUAGAUACCCUGGUAGUCCAUACCGUAAACGAUGAAUGCUAAGUGUUGGA
rnacentral:rRNA from 1 species